rnacentral:tRNA from 1 species
GAACUAAGAAAUUCAUAAUAAAGCUUCUAACUUUAAUUUUAAGCAGUGUAAUUCUGUUUUUAGUUCU